rnacentral:rRNA from 1 species
AUGGGAACGCGAAGAACCUUACCUAGACUUGACAUCUCCUGAAUAGUGUAGAGAUACAUGAAGCCCUUCGGGGCAGGAAGACAGGUGGUGCAUGGUUGUCGUCAGCUCGUGUCGUGAGAUGUUGGGUUAAGUCCCGCAACGGGCGCAACCCUUAUUACUAGUUGCUACCAUUAAGUUGAGCACUCUAGUGAGACUGCCCGGGUUAACCGGGAGGAAGGCGGGGAUGACGUCAAAUCAUCAUGCCCCUUAUGUCUAGGGCUACACACGUGCUACAAUGGUGGGAACAAAGAGAUGCAAUACCGCAAGGUGGAGCUAAACUCAAAACCCCAUCCCAGUUCGGAUUGUAGGCUGAAACUCGCCUACAUGAAGCUGGAGUUGCUAGUAAUCGCGAAUCAGAAUGUCGCGGUGAAUACGUUCCCGGGUCUUGUACACACCG